AUUGAACUCUGGCGGUCGCCUUAUUAUGCAUCUAAAACGGCACGCGGGAGCCUCCGGGUGGCGAGUGGCUAAAGUUUGACUAAUACAUCAGAACGCCCCUCUCUUGGGGGCCCCGCGCGAAUUGUGCGCUUUACCACCUAUCUCUUCGGAUAAGAGGGGGAUCUCAAUCCUUUUGCGAAUGUAGAGCGCGAUGUGGCAUUAUUUGCCCGGUGAUGUGCAGACGCCCCCGCCCUCUAUCAUUACCUGGUCUUGAGGACGACAUUCACCUUUUAUUUUUUAGGGCCCAUACUCUUCGGGAUGCAUAAAAGAGGAAUUUUGUACUAUGGGAAA
rnacentral:rRNA from 1 species